GCGCGCAUGCGCCAUGACGCUCGCGCUGCGUCCGUCUGGCUCUGCGGCUCGCCCAGGCCAAGAGGAGAGUACGUAUGCGAAGGACUCCGGGUCGCUUUGCGGGAGACGAUACUUUGUCCGACACCUACCUGCGCGCCUCCUCCCCCGCCCCCCUGCGCGCAUGCGCAAGCCUGCGCUCGGCUUCCAGGAGAGGCUGCAUAGCCGGGCUCGGGGCGAUUGUGUGGCGAUGAGCUCGUUCCCCGCUCCUCCGCGGGCGGGAAGUGGCCCCGCGGUUUUCUACCAGCCAGUCAGACUGAACUACUCACUGUGUCCUAGGUGAGGGAUGAGGACUGGGGGCCCUCCGGGAGGUGCAGCGUGCCUAUGCUGAGAGCCGUCCUUGCAGAAAAGCGCUGUAGCGGGGCUCUGGGUGCUCUGGGCAUGGCUGGUGUUGCGUGUGCUGCGGUGUGUGCUGUAAGUUCUGAUUCUGAGCCAACACAGGUAUCCUGGGGGAUCAAAGAAAGUCAUUUAAAAGGGAAGCUUCCCCAGUAGUUCUGUGUGAGGACCGAAAGCCUCUGUUUAAAGCCCUCUUCUUCAGAAGCUGAAACUGGGGUUUGGCAUGAAACUCCCUGAUUUUUAAAUACAGGCAUUUAGCUCACAUCCUUCUAAUGGAAUGGACAAUAAAUAAGCUUCGGCCACCUUCUGCGGUCUGAUCCCAGUUCUGAUCUGAGCGAUAGGCUUGGGUUAACUGACUCGACGCGCGCGCUGUUGCAGCCCCUCCACCCCCGCUUCCGUUGCACUAAGCGCUGCAAAAUGAGACUGAAAAUCUGGGCUAAAAAAAAAAAAAAUCGGAGGGCGAGAAUGAAGGAAACAGAAUGAGUAGGGUCAUGGGUGUAUUUGCCUCUCCUAGUUACAACACCCCCUUCUCUGGGACGAAGGAAGACGAACACCAAGCCAGGACAUUGUUACUGGGCAUAGAACCACAGCAGAGCUUGGUUGAAAACCUUAAAUUUUUUAUAAAGAGAAUUUCCAAACACACGUAAAGAGGGAAUAGUUACAAUGAACUUUGAUAUACUCAUCACCCACCUUCAACAAAAAUCAGUUUCUUGCCUGCCUUGUUUCAUUUCUUUGGCGUGUUUUCCCUGAAGUAUAUGAAACGGUGUCCAGAAAUGAUGUAUGUCCAGAAAAAAAAAUACAUCAUUUCACCUAAAAAUACUUGUGUCUCUAAUAGACAAGGACUUUUUAAAAAUACCAUUUCCACAUCCAACAAAAUUAAACAGUUUUACUGUUAAUGUUGUCUAACAGUUAGCAUAUGUUCAGUUUCUCCUCUUUGUCUCAAAAAACUUCAGAAUGCUUAAUCAGGGUCCAAACAAGGUAAAGUCAAGCCAUUCAGGGACACAGCUCCUCAAUCUGUUUGUUGUUGAUGCUGAUGGUGCAAUUUCCUACUGAGGCACCCAGAUCACCCAACCAGUAGAAUCCACGUUCCAGACUGGGGGUUUGUAUCUUAACAUGUCACUAAAGAUGUAUCUCUUGGUCACUGCUGUAUCCUGUACACCAUUAGAUCCACAACCAGGGAGGAUUUGCAGUAAAACUAAAUGUGUCUGCAUACAUUACAAUCAUUACCCCUUUUUAAUGUUCGGAUCAUCCCAUAAGAUGUCCAAGUGCUCUGCGCCCUUUUAACACAAUUAGUCUUUACUGACUCCCUUGCUUUCCACUUUGCACACUGCCUGCCCUACACACAAAAUCUGCCAUUUGGGGGUGCCUGGGUGGCUCACUCAGUUGGGCAUCUGCCAUUGGCUCAGGUCAUGAUCCUGGGGGCCUUGCUAGGGCUCCCUGGUCGGUGGGGAGUCUGCUUCUCCCUCUACCCCUUUCCCUGCUCAAGCUCUCUCCCUGAAUUCGUUCUAAUAAAUAAAUAAUAUCUUUUUAAAAAGUCUGCUGUUUACCUUAAGGAUCUUGAUUCACUUUGGUGAGAAAUGGUAUUCAUGGUUCUAAUUUUGUUGUUUUUUUUUCUUCAAGAGGACCCUAAAAUUUGUCCUAAUUGAUGGGUAAUCUUAAAGAGAUUGCAUUACUCACAGGAAAAAACUUAGGUUAGGUAAUUGAAAUCCCCAGGCCUGAAAACUUUUCCCCUCAAAGAUGGUGGGCAAUUUCUGCCAAAGUUACCUAAGCCAGCUGCCCCUUCAUUCAGCCAAUAUCUAUGAGCAGCUACUGUGCUGGUGUUUUAAACCCUGGGGACACAAUGGUGAACAAAACACAAAAGUCCUUGUCCUCAUGGGUUUAUUUUGGUUAUCACCUUUUGGUUAUCGCACACUCUAUAGCAUGCCAGAGGGAGAAGGUGUCAAGGAGAAAAAUUAAGCAGGGAAGAGGUUAGGGAAUGUAGUGGGUUGAACAGUGCCCCCACCAAAGACAAAGGAUCGACAUUGAAAUCCCUGGAACCCGUGAAUGUGACCUGCCUUGGGGUCCUCCCAAAUGUAAUUAAGGACCUGAUGUGAUAAUCCUGGAUUGUCCUGGACCCUAAAUCCAGUGACUAGGGUCUUUACAAGAGACACAGAGACACCACACACCCACAGAGUGGCUGCUGUAAAAAGCAAAUAGAAAAUAACUAUCAGUGAGCAUGUGGAGAAAUCAGAACCUCGGGAGCUGUGGGUGGCAUCAUAAAUGGUGCAACCACUUUGGAAAAUAACAUGGAGGCACCUCGAGAAAUUAGAACUACCAUAUGACCCAAUCAUUCCACAGCCUGGUAGAGCUCUAAAAAUCUGAAGACAGGACCUCGAAAAGACACUUGCAUGCCCACGUUUACAGAAGCACUGUGCACAGCGGCCAAGAACGGAAGCACCCAAAUGUCUAUCAAUGGAUGAACAGAAAAGAAAUCAAAAGGGGCACAAACACACCACUGCAUACCACUUAGCCUUGAAAAGGAAGUAAAUCCCACACCAAGCCACAGCACGGAUGAACCCUGAGGUCAGCAUGCUAAGGGAAAUACGCCUGUCAUGAAAAACAAAUAGUGCAUGACUCCACUUACAAACAAGAGGGUAUCUAAAGCAGCCAAAUUCGUAGAGACAGUAAGGUGGUGCUGAAGGAGGGGGGUUGUCUAAUGGAUACAGAGUUUCCGAUCUGUAUGAUGAAAACAGUUCUGGAGAACUGUCCCACGAGGUGCCUGUCACCGAACUGUGUAGGCUUGAAAGAGCGAGCUGCACGGAUAAAAGGAUUCACCACGCAGCCAGAGCCAGACACUGCAGCCACAAACCAGGAAUGCCUGGAUCAGCCAGAAACUGGGAGACACACAAGACCAUCUCUCCCAGAGUCUCUGGAGGGACCACGACUUAGCUGAUAUCUGGAUUUUGGACUUCUACUCUUGAGAUGUUUCACAGGAAAUUCAGAAGUUCAAGUACGCCAUGAGGAAAUAACAAGGCAAAUCCAGAAUAUGGAGCAGUUGGCUCCUACCUCCCAAACACUGAAGUCAAAAAGAAAAACAAGUGUGGGGAAAUGUACUUGAAAACUGAGCUGGCAAGAAAGGACCAGAGGUGUGCGGUACUACACAAGGCAUGUAGCCGCCCCUGGGUCUCCAUGUGCUAGAACUGAUGUGGGAAACAAAGGCAGAAGAAAAAUUAUUAAAUUUCCUGACUACCUACAGCCCACUGACAAGUCCUUGAAACAGGCAGAGUGACCUUCCUCUAGGGACUCAACUGCCUCAGUGCUGACACUUUUCUAAGGGCAAAAGGCAACCUUAGAUCUAACCCCCAGAAUCCUGUAAAGUCUACUGUAACAUAUAAAAAUUCCUUUGGAAACUUCCCUUUAUCUCUAAACCCAAGAUACGUGUUAGCAAUCAUCCCCCAAGCAUAUGACCCACAGACGUGUAUCUGAAGGGUCUCAUGACUACGGUUUUAUUAGAUGGUAAUAAAGACCUUUUCCUAACAAUAACUAGAUGUUCAAGGUCCUGGAAACCUUGCUUCUAAAUUCCUUGGGAGACUCACGCUGUCCCUAACCCCCUCCCAACUUGAAAGUAAUGGGUUACUUCUGACCCCACUGCAGCUCUUUCCACCCACGGGUCCUCUCCCUUGCUUUAAUAAAAUCACCUUUGGCAUCAAAGACA